UUCCCAUUCCGAACAGAGAAGUUAAGCUCACCCGCGCCGAUGGUACUGACAUACCAGUUGGGAGAGUAGGUCGCCGCCGUUU
rnacentral:rRNA from 1 species